rnacentral:lncRNA from 1 species
CACACGCGAAAGAAAGCUGAGCUUGGUCAGAGGAACGUCAGUCAGAAAAUACCCACUUGAUUAUCACUGCCAGCUUCACAGUGACCUUCAGUAUGGCCCGCGUGGCAAAAUGAAAUAUGAAAAUGACGCUGCCAGAGGGAAAGCUCAUUCAUUCAUCCUGGCUUGGGAAGAUCGGCUCGAGUUUGUUGGAUCCUAAACCAACAUGUUGGAUCCUAAACCAAACACAAUGUGUGAUGCCAUGGUUUUGCUGAAAGGUUAUUCCUUGUUCUCCACAGCAGAGCAUCACGUCAGACAUGCCAAGGAGCCUUGUCCGUUCAACGGAGAGAGUUGGCUAUUUCCCUUGAGCCAGCUGAAUUGCUCUAGGAAUGCCCUGGAUUCUCAGCAGUGACUACAUGGACAUCUAAAACACUUAAGAUGGGUGCAGUAAAAUAUCCUGCCAGGCUCUCUUACCUAAGCAUGUAAAAGGUAUAGGUCAUGCGAAUCGAUCUUCCAGGUCUGGCCCUCAGCCUACAUCCAGUAUAACCAUAAUGGUCCUACACAUGUUCCCACCCAGCUUUUGUGUGGUUCUUCCUGUAUGGGGAAUGUGCUGUAUCUUUGGCCCCAAAGUGUGUCCAAGUGAGCAGCACUGAUACUCUGGGUCGAUUUUUGAAGAUAAGAUGAAGCUGUGACAUUCAGAACCUGUUGAAUGAAGGACUACUGGUUUAGAGCAAGAAAUGCUGGGGAAUCCUGUCUGUUUUCUUGCCACGUUUGCAAGCAAGGAGUGGAGUGAGUCAUCUUCUGGGAUAGAUCCACCCUCCCACUGCCAAUCAGCAUCACUAGAGAGCGGCCUGAAACGACUGGGCUAGGUGGCAGAAUUACUGGAGGACUGACAUGUCACUACCCGAAACCCUUCUGGAUCGUCUUUGCCACAGAGGAUGCCCGAGGCAGACAGGGACUCGGUUUUUUGGAAUAUCCUCAUCCUUGGUGCUGGGAAAGAACGGAGUCCAAUCGAAAUGGUAAGACUCUGCAGACCUUCAGCAAGCCAGGCAACGUUUCUCAGCUAGUUAACGAUGACAUGCUAGGGCAGGAGCGUGUACGUGGGAUACUUCUAUUGUACGGUUAUCUAAGAUGUCUUAUGUAAUUAUAAUGUAAUUCAUCAAGCCAAUUUUAGCCAGCUAAACCUGAGAUGCCCAGUCUCAGCU